rnacentral:lncRNA from 1 species
CAGGGCUAUAAUGCCUGCAUAACGCAUUCCAUACAAAUCCCCGUCCUGCUCUUACCUACUUCGGUGAAACCUACCGCCAUUAACUGGCUAAAAUGGUUGGUCUGUAUUCUCAACUACUUGUUCAGCCCUUUGUUCAGCUCUGAAACUAGAAGAUUAUUCUUGGGUACCUAUGACACUGAUGAGGAAACAAAAAUGUGUCAGUCGGUCCUGAUCUUCAACAGCCUGGUCACAGGAAUAGUUGCUGCCUCUCUGCACUGAAUCUUUCAGCAGGAAAGAACUCGGGACACUGGGAGAUGGGGCUGCAGCUUUACUAGAUGAAAGUCAACCUCCCAUUGAGAUCAGAAGAGCUGGACUCCCUCUCCAGUGCCUGGAUGACCAGCAUAAGCCAUUCUCAACAGCAACAGUGGGAAGAUGAUUGCAGGAAGGAAUGUGGAGGGAAAGAAAGAAAAUAA